GACGAACGCUGGCGGCAGGCCUAACACAUGCAAGUCGAGCGGAAACGAUCCUAGCUUGCUGGAGGCGUCGAGCGGCGGACGGGUGAGUAACGCGUGAGAAUCUACCCAUGAGUGGGGGACAACCCGGGGGAAACUCGGGCUAAUACCGCAUACGCCCUACGGGGUAAAGCAGGGGACCUUCGGGCCUUGCGCUGAUGGAUGAGCUCGCGUCGGAUUAGCUUGUUGGUGAGGUAAAGGCUCACCAAGGCGACGAUCCGUAGCUGGUCUGAGAGGGAUGAUCAGCCACACCGGGACUGAGACACGGCCCGGACUCCUACGGGAGGCAGCAGUGGGGAAUCUUGGACAAUGGGGGCAACCCUGAUCCAGCCAUGCCGCGUGUGUGAAGAAGGGCCUUCGGGUUGUAAAGCACUUUCAGCAGGGAGGAAGGCUUACCCCUAAUACGGGUGAGUACUUGACGUUACCUGCAGAAGAAGCACCGGCUAAUUUCGUG
rnacentral:rRNA from 1 species